rnacentral:rRNA from 1 species
ACGAACGCUGGCGGCGUGCUUAACACAUGCAAGUCGAACGGACAGGCCCUGCUUUUGUGGGGUGCUCGUGUGGCGAACGGGUGAGUAACACGUGAGUAACCUGCCCUUGACUUUGGGAUAACUUCAGGAAACUGGGGCUAAUACCGGAUAGGAGCUCCUGCUGCAUGGUGGGGGUUGGAAAGUUUCGGCGGUUGGGGAUGGACUCGCGGCUUAUCAGCUUGUUGGUGGGGUAGUGGCUUACCAAGACUUUGACGGGUAGCCGGCCUGAGAGGGUGACCGGCCACAUUGCGACUGAGAUACGGCCCAGACUCCUACGGGAGGCAGAAGUGGGGAAUAUUGCACAGUGGGCGGAAGCCUGAUGCAGCAACGCCGCGUGCGGGAUGACGGCCUUCGGGUUGUAAACCGCUUUCGCCUGUGACGAAGCGUGAGUGACGGUAAUGGGUAAAGAAGCACCGGCUAACUACGUG